rnacentral:rRNA from 1 species
AGCGUUACUCGGAAUCACUGGGCGUAAAGGGCGCGUAGGCGGAUUAUCAAGUCUCUUGUGAAAUCUAAUGGCUUAACCAUUAAACUGCUUGGGAAACUGAUAGUCUAGAGUGAGGGAGAGGCAGAUGGAAUUGGUGGUGUAGGGGUAAAAUCCGUAGAUAUCACCAAGAAUACCCAUUGCGAAGGCGAUCUGCUGGAACUCAACUGACGCUAAGGCGCGAAAGCGUGGGGAGCAAACAGGAUUAGAUACCCUGGUAGUCCACGCCCUAAACGAUGUACACUAGUUGUUGGGGUGCUAGUCAUCUCAGUAAUGCAGCUAACGCAUUAAGUGUACCGCCUGGGAGAG